CGCCACAGCCACGGCAAUGCCAGAUCCAAGCCUCGUCUGCAACCUAAGUACAGCUCACAGCAAAGCCGGAUCCUGAACCUACUGAGCGAGGCCAGGGAUCGAACUCGCAACCUCAUGGUUCCUGGGCUUGAAAAUGCAACUGACAAAGUUUAACAAGAGAAAGGCAUAUACAUUUAUGUAAUAGGUUUUAUGUGACACAGAUGCCGUCAUAAGGAAAUGAAGACCCAAACAACAAACUUGAAUAAGUUGGGCUGGCUUCGAUGAGGAGCACAGUGUGUCAGAGUAAGAGGUAUGUGUCCUAAGCUGGGGAAACGUAGCCAAGCCUGUUUGCUAGGAUUCUUCCUGGUGUCCUUUAUCUCCAUGGGUCAGGAUGCUUUGUUCCCCUGGGUGCAGGAAGGGCCCCUUUCACAGGAGGCCUGCUUGGGGAAGAAAGAGGAAGGAGGAAGAGAUCAGAGUGCACUUCCAGCUUCUGCUGUUUUUGUCAAACUCCUUCGGUUUAAGAUAUUCAGUAAGCCAGGGUGCCAUAGGAAAAGGCUGAACAUGAAGAUACUUAACCACAGCUGCUCUGGAGGAUGAUGCUAUCGUCUCUGUGUACCUGUUUGUAUCUCCUGCCUUUCUAGAACUAGUCCUGACUUGCUUUUAUAAAAAGGAACACGUCAUACAAGUUUGUUUAAAUUUUUUUUAAAAAGCUGUAAUCUUUCUGGCAAGGGUGUUAGAAACCUGGGGAUAUUUCGAGCUCUCCUCUUUAUUCACCAAAUGAUGAAACACUAGAAUGAAGGGACACUAGGAUGAAGGGACACUCUUUCUUUUUUUUUUGGCCACAUGCAAAAGUUCCUGGGUCAGGGAUUGAACAGACAAUGCUGGGUCCUUAACCUGAUGAGCUGCCAGGGAGCUCCCUAAGGGACACUAUUUCUAAGUGAUAUUUAAUGAGGGCAAAAUGAGAAGAUACCAGAUUGAUGAAUGUUUUUGGCUGUGACAUGCAGCAGCCUGAUGUGGGAUACCAGGGAUUGAACCCGGGCCACUGUGGUGAAAGCACCACGUCCUAACCACUAAACCACCACAGAACUCUCCACGAACUUCUCAAUAUGAAGACACAGACAAUACAUAUUUAAAAGAUUCAAAUGAAUCAGAACCAAUUAAAAAAAUGCCAGGUGCACACACGGUGAACAGAAAAAGCCAACCCGCAGGUAACCUUUAGCUUUUCCACUCCUGGAAUGGCCUUUGGGUACCUAUGUCAACUCAGUAUCUUGAGAGAUUAGAGAUCUGACAUACCUAUCUCUUUCGUCUUGGCAGGCAUCCGGGAGAACUUGUUCCAUCCUAGCCUUAGCUGACCUUGUUGUCACAACUUGAAGGUGAAGUUUGCAUAUUCCCUCUUCACCCAGCAAGCGACUUUAAGGAAAGAAAAAUUAGUUUGGGGGACUGCAGGGCUGUCUACUUGGCAUCCAUGCCCCCUUUUUGGGUGGCAGGGCACUCUCGUCUUCCUUUGCUACCCUCCGUUGCUGCAGCAUAGGCGAGGCAUCGGCACCCUCCUGCUCCCUGAUAAACCCAUGACCCAGGCCUGGCCAACGAGCACAUCUUCUCUCUCAAGCUAGGAGGGCUUCAGCAAUGGUCUAGUCCCAUCAGAGAGAUUACAAAGAAGGAGCUCUUGAUAGAGAUUUCUUCACCCAGCUUUCUCAGCUGGGAGAAUGGAAGCCUGGGAUUGUGGAACGAUCCUGCCGAAGAAUGAAGGCCAAAGAGCAUAGCAGAGCCACAGGUGGAAGAAGGCAGGAAGGCUUUGGGGUUGGGCACCAAGUUCUGGGGCUUCCAGGUCUGUGUGUGCCAGACCAAAGUGACCACUGGAACUUUCAACAGUGUGUGAGUGUGUGGCAAUAAUUUCCUUUUUUUUUUUUUUUUUGGUUUAAGCAAGUUUGUAUUGGAGCUAUUUCACUUACAACCAAUGGGGUCCUGAUUAAUAUACUGGCAUAAUACUUAUUGAACAUUCCUCAAAUAGCAGACUUUGUGUAAGUCCUUCAUAUGUAUUGUCUUAUUUAAUUCUUACAAUAGUCCUUUUUAUCUUUUGAGGAAAAAAAAAAAAAAAACCCUGAGGCCCAGAAAGGUUAAGUAACUAUAGCACAAGAUCCCCUGCAAGUAGUAGAAACAGAUUCAAACCCAGAUAAGCCCUUCUUUCUUAGCCAGUAUACUACCAACUUGGCAGUGAUACUUGAUGAAAUUGAAACCGACAGCUGGUGGGGCGCUCAUUUUUACAAAGGGUGGUCCUGAGGAUAAUGAGAAUUUAGUAAGCGUAGCCACUUUGGGGGGUUACAUUUUCUUCACCUUCAGUGGAGCAGUCAGUACUCCUGUUACUACUUGGUUUUGUUGUCAACUCCCAGGCAGUGUUUACAGUAGAAUCUCAAGCCUCUUCCUUGUAUAGUCACAGAGUCUGGUGGAAAGGAAUUGACCUGUAGAUGCAUAUCCUCCAGUGGCUCUGGGGCUCCUUGGGCUACACAGGAGGGGACAUGGAGCGAAAGUGUGGGCCCUUUAAGGAUUAAGGAGGAGCCGCAGGCCACUCUGGUGGUGUGUUGUCACAAACCAGAGCGGGCUUUCUUUUCAAUCAUGAAGUGAACCUCAGGAGAUGUAUCAGUUCUGCACAGCUCCUUUCUCAGGUACUUUGCUUACACUUUGCAUAAGAGAAGGGUUUGCUCGUCAAGCUGGAAGAAAACAAGACCUCCCCUGCUGCCUCAAAGUACAAGCCUGGGUUAGCAUCCUGGAAGCAUGACAAGGAGUUGCCAGCUGUGCCCGCUGGGCCAACCUAGACCAGUCUACAGGAAGUCAUCCCACAGGACAGAGGCACAGUCAGUCUUCUGCUCCUUUGUUAUCCCUGUGACAUCUACUGACCUUCACCUGGCCAUUCUCUGGAGCAAAAACGUGCAGAAGAGAAUAGCAGUGAGCAGACAGACAAGGAGACAAGGGGGAAAGAUCUCUAUACUCCCAUUGGUCCUGCUUCUCUGGAGACCCUAAUAUACCUACGCAUGAAAGUUAUGCUUCCACUGCACUGAGGCAUCAAAACCUGUCUGGCACAGAAUCCCUGCACUUGAAUGGAGUGGCAUGUGGAGUUCCUGGACCAGCGAUCAGAUCAGGCUGCAGUGGAGCUGCAGUUGUGGCAUUCACAGCACCUGCAACAAUGCAACAAUGCUGGAUCCUUAACCCACUGUGCCAGAUGUGGGGUCGGAUCUGCCUCCCAGACCUCCGGAGAGGCUGCCAAUCCUAUUAUGCCACAGCAGAAACUCCCCAAAAGGUCAUGAGAGUUCUUAUUUUCCUCUCAGCUGUUCCCUCCUCCAUGGCUAAGAUCCGCCACAUGUGACAUGAUUCGAAUUCUACCCAAGAGCACGGGGAGAGAAUUUCCUGUCUGUUCUCAAGUAGCUGUUUUGUGUAAGACAAGAUCAUGUCACUUGCAAAUAGAAGUAGUUUUACGUCUUCCUCAAGGGCAGCUGGAGGGAGAACAAGUUCACUAGGUCUUCACUUGACUGUUCCAGAGAUCCAUUUCCCUGAGAAGAUUUUAAAUAAAUGAAAACCAGGUACUGGAUACAAAUAUGAACACAUUAAAGAUGUGCUGGAUUCACAAUGCGAGAAACGGCAGAUGUUAUAACUGAUCCAAAGAGGAUCCAAUGAAUAGUAACUGAUUCUUGAAUGGUGAUCCUGCCAGCAGGAAGAAGGAAAGGACAUUAAGAUAGAAGGAAUGGCAUAUACAAAACAUCCAUGGCAUAAAGAAACAACCAGUUCAGUGGCAAGAAAUAUCCAGAUCCUUCUUGGUAGGCCAGGGUACUUUUGGCAAGAGAACAUUCCUCUGUACUAAGGUCCAGACCUAGUAGUCCUUGUCCAGGGUAGACCAGAUCCUUCUUGGUAGGCCAGGGUACUUUUGGCAAGAGAACAUUCCACUGCACUAAGGUCCAGACCUAGUAGUCCUUGUCCAGGGUAGGAUAACUUGAGACAGUAUAGGGAGGUUUUGAAACACAGUAAAAGAAUGCAUCCAAAGUAAGCAAAAAGCAAUGCCAGUGGUCAAGUCUGAAGAGCCAGCUGAAGCUGUGGGUGGGCUAAUGAGUAAUGCAGUAAAAAGUAAUAGGGAUUGAAGUGUGUCAAACGCAGAUCUAGAAAUAAGUUGGAGGGAAGGGCAUUUUAUUUCGAUCGUGAUUGGCACCACUGAAAGUGGAUGAGAGACAAGAAGGAAAAGUACCAGUUAGAAAGCACUGCAAAAUUUAAGUAGAUGAUAACGACCUGAAAUAAGACAGCAAUACUGGGUUCAAGUGUGAGAAAAAUUUAGGAAGCAAACUGCAUCACACUUGAUAAACAAUGGAUAUGUGAUUGAGAAGAUAGUUGUAAAAAUGCUGCCGUGGUGCCCAGGAACAACACCUUGCAGAGUUUGGGAUACAGACUAAACCUGUGACUGGUAUAUAUUGACCCAACAGCUAGAGCAUCAGGAGUCUGAGAAGCAAAGAAAGGAAGUAACAUUAGCCUCUAUCAUCAUUCUUAAUGAACAACCCAUCUGUUUGUUUAUAUUUCCCGUCACCUUUGGUUCUGCCAAAUUAGAGGUCCAAAUUCUCAGUGGGGGAAUGUUUGUAUUAGUGGACAUAUAAGUCCAUCAGUGGACUGAAAUAGAAGGCAUGACUUGAAGCUACCACAUCACUUUGAGAUCCUUGUGCUAGUGCCUUGCAGAUAAAGAUCCAGGUAAAAAUGACCCUGACAGUAAAUAAUGCUGGAAUGUGAUUAAUUCUCAAAGAGAAAAACAUAAAAGAAUGCUGCAGAAAUCUAGAUGAUGGGGAAGUUUGGAAAUGCAGAAGUGUAAAGAUAAAAGGCCAAAAGAUUGGGCAAUGCAUAAAGGCUAAUCAGAACAAAUAAUAAUGAGAGAGCUACAUAUUUUAUUGUAUCAAAAUAUUGUCAAAUACCCCUUUGAAAGUGUGUCUGCUGGAAAUAAAGGUGCAUCUGUGUACAAUC